GAGUGGCCUAGUGGUUAGAGCGUCCGCCUCGGAUGCUGGAUAUCGUGAGUUCGAUCUCCGGCAGAGUCA